AUUGAACGCUAGCGGGAUGCUUUACACAUGCACGUCGAACGAGUGGCGGACGGGUGAGUAAUAUAUCGGAACGUGCCCAGUAGCGGGGGAUAACUACUCGAAAGAGUGGCUAAUACCGCAUACCAUCAGAUGUGCCCAGAUGGGAUUAGCUAGUAGGUGGGGUAAUGGCUCACCUAGGCGACGAUCCCUAGCUGGUCUGAGAGGAUGACCAGCCACACUGGAACUGAGACACGGUCCAGACUCCUACGGGAGGCAGCAGUGGGGAAUAUUGCACAAUGGGCGCAAGCCUGAUGCAGCCAUGCCGCGUGUGUGAAGAAGGCCUUCGGGUUGUAAAGCACUUUCAGCGAGGAGGCGUUACUCGCAGAAGAAGCACCGGCUAACUCCGUGCCAGCAGCCGCGGUAAUUC
rnacentral:rRNA from 1 species